rnacentral:rRNA from 1 species
ACGGGAGGCAGCAGUGAGGAAUAUUGGUCAAUGGAGGCAACUCUGAACCAGCCAUCUCGCGUGAAGGAAUACGGCCCUAUGGGUCUUAAACUUCUUUUAUAGGGGGAUAAAGUGAGGCAUGUAUGCCUUUUUGUAGGUACCCUAUGAAUAAGCAUCGGCUAACUCCGUGCCAGCAGCCGCGGUAAUACGGAGGAUGCGAGCGUUAUCCGGAUUUAUUGGGUUUAAAGGGUGCGCAGGCGGCACGUUAAGUCAGCGGUGAAAUGCAGGGGCUCAACCCCGGCACUGCCGUUGAAACUGGCGAGCUCGAGUACGGAUGAAGUCGGCGGAAUGUGAUGUGUAGCGGUGAAAUGCUUAGAUAUGACGAAGAACUCCGAUUGCGAAGGCAGCCUUCUGGGGCAUGAUUGACGCUGAGGCUCGAAAGUGCGGGAAUCAAACAGGAUUAGAUACCCUGGUA